ensembl:ncRNA K08B12.8 ncRNA
AAACUUUUUGUGAAUUGCAAUAGUCACAUAGAUGACAUACGCACAUUGGGGGUCCAAGAGGAAAAAGAGAAGAGGGAGGCAAACUGAGGGCGAGGCGGAGUCGAGACGAGAUGGAUGGACGUAGAGACAGUGUCGGAAGAUGAAAAGAACACGAGACGCAAGAGAAAACGAGGCGGCGGGCGGUGCAGAUCGGGUGCGUUGUGUACUGGAGACACACAUACAAUGAUGACAAGACGCAGACAGGCAAAAUGGUUGGAAAGAAGAAUUGAUAGAAGUCAUCGGUCUAUUGAUUCUCAUUGAUUCGUCGUCGUCUUCCGAUGGGACAAAUGUG